rnacentral:rRNA from 1 species
UCCAGACUCCUACGGGAGGCAGCAGUGGGGGAUAUUGCACAAUGGGGGAAACCCUGAUGCAGCGACGCCGCGUGUGGGAAGACGGUCCUCUGGAUUGUAAACCACUGUCCCCAGGGACGAAGAUGACGGUACCUGGGGAGGAAGCUCCGGCUAACUACGUGCCAGCAGCCGCGGUAAUACGUAGGGAGCAAGCGUUGUCCGGAAUUACUGGGCGUAAAGCGCUCGUAGGCGGUAUGUCAAGUCAAGGGUGAAAUCCCCGCGCUCAACGUGGGAACUGCCUUUGAAACUGGCAAACUGGAGUGUGUGAGAGGAUAGUGGAAUUCCAGGUGUAGGAGUGAAAUCCGUAGAUAUCUGGAGGAACAUCAGUGGCGAAGGCGGCCUGCUGGACGACAACUGACGGUGAGGCGCGAAAGCGUGGGGAGCAAACAGGAUUAGAUACCCGUGUAA